UCCGGUUUGGCACCGGCAGUCCUUCCAGAGUCCUCGGCAUUACCCGGUAGCAACUGGAAGCGAGGGUUGCGCUCGUUGCGGGACUUAACCCAACAUCUCACGACACGAGCUGACGACAGCCAUGCAGCACCUGUCACCCAUCCAGCCGAACUGAAGGAAACCAUCUCUGGAAUCCGCGAUGAGGAUGUCAAACGCUGGUAAGGUUCUUCGCGUUGCGUCGAAUUAAACCACAUGCUCCGCUGCUUGUGCGGGUCCCCGUCAAUUCCUUUGAGCUUUAGCCUUGCGGCCGUACUCCCCAGGCGGGGCACUUAAUGCGUUAGCUCCGGCACGGGAGGAGUCGACACCUCCCACACCUAGUGCCCAUCGUUUACGGCGUGGACUAC
rnacentral:misc_RNA from 1 species